AUGCAUAAAGAAAAAGAGAUAAGGCCCCUGCCUUUUCCCCCGGGACAAGCCCACCUGGCCGACCUAGCUCCCCCGCACCAGGUGCUCCCCUCCCCUGUUCCUCAGGCACACCCGACCGCGCCCGCAGUCGCCGCCGCACCCUCUCGUCGGCAGCGCCGGGAGAGGAUAAGGGCGCCACGCCUCUCCCCUCCUCCAGAUCCGCCUCUCGCCGACGCGCCCAACACCGUCCGCCUCACUCCGUUGCGGCCACCGGACACCUCCCGCCCCGCUGUCGUGUCCGCGAAGGCCUUCUCCAUCCGCUACAUCCUCCACGCCGAUGCACUAGAGCCGAAGGCCACGUACGACGCUUUCCCGAGACGUCUUCCUCCUCGGUACCUCGUCGUCGUCUCCAUCGACGCCGGUCGCCUCUGCGCCCCCGUUCACUCGAUGGGCCUCCUUGUGCCUCCUCGGAUGCGCAUCUAUUUGCCUUGGGACUUCGAUGUCUAUGCUACAGCGGGACGUCCUCGUCCCAGUGAGGCCGAGGAGAUCCCUAGCUACAUGCUACAGGAAAUACUGAUGAAGCUGCCGACCAAGGACGUGGCCCGCUGCUGCUGCGUCUCCAGGCACUGGCGCAGCGCCGUGAGAGACCCCACCUUCCGCAAGCUCCACGCAGCGAGCCCUGCCGCGCUGUCGGCGGAGCCCGAGUUCUUGCGCUUAUCCGGUGUACCAUGCGGGCUCGGCCAGAUUGUCAAGGCCAGUGUCUUCAGGUUAUCGUCGGACAAACCCAUGUGCACCGUCGCCAUCCCCGAGCGCUACUUCCUCCACAACAUCUGCAACGGCCUCGUCUGCUUCCUUGACAGGGACCGCAAAGGUCAGACGCCGGUGCUGGUGUGCAACCCCGUCACUGGCGAGACGCUGGCGCUUCCCGAGGCGCCUCCGCUCAGCAACAUGGACAAUGCGUAUCAUCUCUUUGCCUUGGGGUUCAGCCCGCCCACCAACGAGCACAAGCUGUUCCGCCUCUCUUUCCCGUCAUACUCGUACUCCUUCGAAGAGCGGGUGGAGGUGGGCGUCUACACCUUGGGCGACGCCCGCGGGUGGCGCAAACACUCAUUCCUCUCGCCCUUUAGCCCAUCAUCCAGAAGAAAUAACACUUCGGCGCCGGUGCUGAUCGAUGGUAAACUUCACAUGAUCACCAGACCGUGGAAUCGUGUACAUACCUACAGACCGACAGGAGUGCUGGUAGUGGACGUGCGUGCCGAAACGUGCCGCACUUACCCUCUCCCGAACGGUCUCGGGACCUUUCCAGAUGAGAAUCCGGUGACCUUUGAGCUCAAGGGGCAGCUGUGCUUCGCCGCACACGUGCGUGGCCGCUCCACGGUCCUCCGCUUCUGGGUCAUGGCCAUGGAGAACAAGGAGUUGGACGGCAAGAAGGAGCCGCACUGGGACUUGCGCUACAGCUUCUGCAUGGAAGGAGAACAUCGCUUCACCACCCGAAACCCGUGGAAUGCAUGGUUUGAACAUGAGAGUACACGCGCUAUGACACCUUGCACAUGUAUCCCAAGAGGUCGUCCGUUCCUGACCACGGUCGACUGUUACAACGGUGCAAGCAGCUCCAACGGAUAG
rnacentral:rRNA from 1 species